rnacentral:lncRNA from 1 species
GUCUGACAAAUUCUAAUGUUUCAUACAAAAUUCUUUUCUGAGCUGUCUAUUUUGCAUAGAUCUGAUGGGAAUUAAAUAGCUCUUUCUCCUCAACUGAAAAAUCGAUAUUCAGAACUCAUCUGAUAUCAAAUUUUGCUCUCAGUUUAAUCCAUGAUUAAUUGAAACAUGUCUCAUAUUUCUUGCUUUUUAUUGUCCUUUUAAAAAUGCCAUACAGAAAUCAUCAUAAAUCUAUUAUUUCAUCAUAGAAUUAAAAUAUGUAUUGAAAUGGCAUCACUUUAACAAAAAUGCAGGAUUUUUGUCAAGUUAAGAUUAAAAAUGUUUCAUUAUUCAAUUUACUCAGCCAUACUUUCUACAGGAAUUCAAUACAUCUAGCUUUCCAGUUCCUCUGUGGAAUACUUCAUCAUCUGGCAUAUGACCUCAGACCAUCUCCCAGCUUGUGGAUAGUCAAUCAUGCCAGAAAUUGUACACUCUAUCACUUCUAUCAAAACCUUUGAUACGAGACACAGAAACAAUUUCCUGAUUGGAGGUUUGUUUUGUUUUGUUUUUUUCCAUUGUAUUGGCAUAAUUUCUGUUUAUCAGAUUAAAUACUACAAAGAGAAGAGUAUGUAGUAUCUUGAAUAUUUACUUCAAACUUGGUGAAUCUCCCCAGCAGAAAAAUAAAACCUCAGGAAUUAACAAGAACAGCUGAGGAAGGAGUCCAGUGAAAUGACCCCAUUUGUUUAACCAUUCCAGAAAAAGUAAGCAUAUUUUAUGUCACUAAAAUCAUAAAUCUUUCAAAAUGGAGGUUGUAUGAAUUUUAUAAAUGUAUUAUCAUCUCU